GGACUCCUUUUUGAUUUUGUGGCCAAAUUCUGGUCUUUUUUGUGGACACAGCUUGUGACACUAAUUGAGUGUCUUAUUUUGACGAGCAGAAACAAUGUCGUAUGCUCCUGCAUUGGUGAUGUCGGUCUUUGUGGCUGCAGAAGCCCUCCCACCCCAACCCACGGAAGCACUCCCACCCCAACCGCCAGCCCCCCAACCACAACCGGCUCCUCAUCAACCAAGGCAACGGAGGCGUGCUAGGCCACCAAUUUUCCGCACCCGUGUCCUACUUUUUGGGAUGCCAGAUGAUGUGGUUGUGCGUAGAUACAGGCUGCCACCACAUCUAA